GUCCACGCUGUAAACGAUGUCAACUAGCCGUCGGGUCUUCGUGCCCUUGGUGGCGUAGCUAACGCGAUAAGUUGACCGCCUGGGGAGUACGGUCGCAAGAUUAAACUCAAAUGAAUUGACGGGGCCCGCACAAGCGGUGGAGCAUGUGGUUUAAUUCGACGCAACGCGAAGAACCUUACCAGGUCUUGACAUCCAGAGAAGUCGCUAGAGAUAGCUUCGUGCCUUCGGGAACUCUGAGACAGGUGCUGCAUGGCUGUCGU
rnacentral:rRNA from 1 species